UCGAGCGAGGUUCUUUUGAACCUAGCGGCGAAUGGGUGAGUAACACGUGCUUAAUCUACCCUUUAGAUUGGAAUACCCAAUGGAAACAUUGGCUAAUGCCGGAUACGCAUGGAAUCGCAUGAUUCCGUUGUGAAAGGAGCCUUUAAAGCUCCGCUAGAGGAUGAGGGUGCGGAACAUUAGUUAGUUGGUAGGGUAAUGGCCUACCAAGACUAUGAUGUUUAGCCGGGUCGAGAGACUGAACGGCCACAUUGGGACUGAGAUACGGCCCAAACUCCUACGGGAGGCAGCAGUAGGGAAUAUUCCACAAUGAGCGAAAGCUUGAUGGAGCGACACAGCGUGCACGAUGAAGGUCUUCGGAUUGUAAAGUGCUGUUAUAGGGAAAGAACACCUGGUUGAGGAAAUGCUUCCAGGCUGACGGUACCCUGUCAGAAAGCGAUGGCUAACUAUGUGCCAGCAGCCGCGGUAAUACAUAGGUCGCAAGCGUUAUCCGGAAUUAUUGGGCGUAAAGCGUUCGUAGGCUGUUUAUUAAGUCUGGAGUCAAAUCCCAGGGCUCAACCCUGGCUCGCUUUGGAUACUGGUAAACUAGAGUUAGAUAGAGGUAAGCGGAAUUCCAUGUGAAGCGGUGAAAUGCGUAGAUAUAUGGAAGAACACCAAAGGCGAAGGCAGCUUACUGGGUCUAUACUGACGCUGAGGGACGAAAGCGUGGGGAGCAAACAGGAUUAGAUACCCUGGUAGUCCACGCCGUAAACGAUGAUCAUUAGUCGGUGGAGAGUUCACUGACGCAGCUAACGCAUUAAAUGAUCCGCCUGAGUAGUAUGCUCGCAAGAGUGAAACUUAAAGGAAUUGACGGGGACCCGCACAAGCGGUGGAGCAUGUGGUUUAAUUUGAAGAUACGCGGAGAACCUUACCCACUCUUGACAUCCUUCGCAAUGCUAUAGAGAUAUAGCGGAGGUUAACGGAGUGACAGAUGGUGCAUGGUUGUCGUCAGCUCGUGUCGUGAGAUGUUUGGUCAAGUCCUGCAACGAGCGCAACCCCUAUCUUUAGUUACUAACGAGUCAUGUCGAGGACUCUAGAGAUACUGCCUGGGUAACUGGGAGGAAGGUGGGGAUGACGUCAAAUCAUCAUGCCUCUUACGAGUGGGGCAACACACGUGCUACAAUGGUCGGUACAAAGAGAAGCAAUAUGGCGACAUGGAGCAAAUCUCAAAAAGCCGAUCUCAGUUCGGAUUGGAGUCUGCAAUUCGACUCCAUGAAGUCGGAAUCGCUAGUAAUCGCAGAUCAGCUACGCUGCGGUGAAUACGUUCUCGGGUCUUGUACACACCGCCCGUCACACCAUGGGAGCUGGUAAUACCCAAAGUCGGUUAGCUAACCUCGGAG
rnacentral:rRNA from 1 species